rnacentral:misc_RNA from 1 species
UUUUAAUAUGGAGGAACGUUACAAUCUGGCCUGGCCUAACCUGAUCUUAGCUGAUUUGAUGAAAACAAACCAAACUAGACUCGAUUCGACUGGAGUAGAUCGGAUUCGAUCGCAUCAUUAGGUUAGGGACGCGCGCUUUAGUUCUGUUUGCUACGCUCUGCGUCGGACUAUGAACUUUUCCGAGGUGCAAAUGGACGACAUAAUCACGUCGAGUAUUACGUCGCCGCAGUUCUUAGAAUUACCCUUCCGAGCGAAUUCGAACGUCACUACUUUCGCGGAGCAUAAUAGUGGCGGGAACAUGCAGUCUCAGGAAGCUCAAACUUCUAUUUCAGCGAUAGCUGAUUUGAAAACGGAAUCGUAUCCUCAACACCAGCAACAUUUGUCGUAUAAUAUGGCAAAUACUAUGAGUGAUUAUCUUCACAAGUGGCAUACUUCGACUUUACCUUUAAUAACACUGCAAUUCGUGAAACAACAAGUAGAGCAAUUGAAGAAAGAGAAAGUAGGAGAGGAGAAAGUGGAGCAUGUGCAGAAUAAUAUUCUGAAUAUACCCAGUGUGCCAGUAUUCCGAAGUUCUCAAGUGCAAAAUAGCAGCAAUUUUACAAACACAGAUCCAAUGUUAAUGUCUGUUAAUCCAUUUGAUCUGAAUGUACAUUUAGAGAGCGAACAAGAGAAUGAGAGCAACUCACAGCCAGUUGUGAAGGUGGAACAACAAGUGCAAACUGAUUCGCCGAAGAUCGAGAAGAAGCCGAGGUUUCGAGCAAAAAUUGGUGAAAUCAAGAUCAGUGUUGAUUCACGUGGAUCGACAUAUUACUGUUGUCCAGAAUGUAACAUAGGCUAUACAGACAAGGCAGAUAUUGAUAAACAUAUACAAGCACACAUACAGGAGCGAAAGUACGAGUGUAAAGAGUGUGGUGCUCUGUUAAAGAGAAAAGAGCAUCUGGAUCAACAUAUGCGCGGUCAUUCAGAUGAGCGGCCUUUCAAGUGCAAAGUGUGUGAAAAGGCCUUUAAAAGAAACGAACACCUAACGAGGCACUUCGUCAUCCAUUCCGGAGAUAAGAACUUCUUAUGCACGGUGUGUAAUAAAGCAUUCUCACGCAAGGAUCAUUUGAACAAGCACACGCAAACGCAUUCGGGCAUGCGAAAAAACAAGAUGAAGAACAAUACCUUUUACAUCGAUCAGAAGGAUCCGUUUGAUAAGAGUACUGAUGUUUCGACAACGGUGCCCAGACAAGAGGCCAAGUAUGUCUUAAAGGAUAGCAUGCCGAAGGAAAGCAUUCUUUCUCAGAUACCGGAGAGCGUUCUUCUUCAAAAUAUUCAAAAUCUCGCGAGGGAUCCGAACUUAUUGCACACAUUGUCUUCGCUCAAAGAACAGAUGAUGAGGGAGAGCAGUGUGAUGCAGCAAGAUGACAUUAAUACAGACGAGAUCUUGCCCGAUAACGUAAGAUACAUAAUGCAGUCUUAGCCGUAAGCGAAGUCUAAAGCAAUAGAAGCAAAUUAGUUAUUGCACGGGUAGAGGAAGCCUUUCGACAGUUUCUGACCGUUUACAUGCAAUAGGAAAAAUUGAAAAGGAAGGAAAAUGAGUGCCACAUGAACUGAUUAUGAACUGAAACAACCAUGCUGAACCGUGUAUCGCCACUGCUCUGGUUGCCAGGCAGAAAAAGAGAAUUUUUUCUUUGACCAGACUGUCACUGAUGAUGAAAAGUGGAUCCAUUAUGAUAAUUCUAAAUUAAAAGUUAUGGAUAGACCCAGGCCACAUCGGCGCCAAAAUGCAAUAUUUAUGGUCAUAAGACAUUGCUCUGUAUGUGAGAUCAAGAAAAUGUUGUAUAUUAUGAGCUUUUAAAACCGAAUAAAACUGUUACGGCUAACGGGUA